UAGGGAAUCUUCCACAAUGGACGCAAGUCUGAUGGAGCAACGCCGCGUGAGUGAAGAAGGUUUUCGGACCGUAAAGCUCUGUUGUUGGUGAAGAAGGAUAGAGGUAGUAACUGGCCUUUAUUUGACGGUAAUCAACCAGAAAGUCACGGCUAACUACGUGCCAGCAGCCGCGGUAAUACGUAGGUGGCAAGCGUUGUCCGGAUUUAUUGGGCGUAAAGCGAGCGCAGGCGGAAGAAUAAGUCUGAUGUGAAAGCCCUCGGCUUAACCGAGGAAUUGCAUCGGAAACUGUUUUUCUUGAGUGCAGAAAGAGGAGA
rnacentral:rRNA from 1 species